AACGAACGCUGGCGGCAUGCCUAACACAUGCAAGUCGAACGGAACCUUCCGGCCUUGUGGCGCUGGUGGGCGUACCGCGGGGGAAGUAACCCUUAGGUUCCGUAUAACUCACCGUAAGGGGUGCUAAUACCGGUUAAUCUCUUCGGGCCUAAGAUUUAUGGCUUUUGGGUGGGCCCGGGUUGGAUUAGGCGGUUGGUAGGGUACAAGCAUACCAAGGCGAUGAUGCUGAGCUGGUCUGAGAGGAGGAUAAUCCACACUGGGACUGAGGCACGGACCAGACUCCUACGGGAGGGAGGAGUAGGGAAUAUUGGACGAUGGGCGAAAGCGUGAUCCAGCAGUGCCGCGUGAGAGAGGAAGGCCUUAGGGUUGUAAAGCUGUUUUACCCGGGAUGAUAAUGACAGUACCGGGAGAAUAAGCACCGGCUAACUACGUG
rnacentral:rRNA from 1 species